rnacentral:rRNA from 1 species
UUGCUCUGACCUCGGAUCA